rnacentral:rRNA from 1 species
GACGAACGCUGGCGGCGUGCCUAAUACAUGCAAGUCGAGCGAAGUUUUUCUGGUGCUUGCACCGGAAAAACUUAGCGGCGAACGGGUGAGUAACACGUAAAGAACCUGCCUCAUAGACUGGGACAACUAUUGGAAACGAUAACUAAUACCGGAUAACAGCAUUAACUGCAUGGUUGAUGUUUAAAAGUUGGUUUUGCUAACACUAUGAGAUGGCUUUGCGGUGCAUUAGCUAGUUGGUGGGGUAAAGGCCUACCAAGGCGACGAUGCAUAGCCGACCUGAGAGGGUGAUCGGCCACACUGGGACUGAGACACGGCCCAGACUCCUACGGGAGGCAGCAGUAGGGAAUCUUCCGCAAUGGGCGAAAGCCUGACGGAGCAACGCCGCGUGAGUGAAGAAGGAUUUCGGUUCGUAAAGCUCUGUUGUUAGGGAAGAAUGAUUGUGUAGUAACUAUACACAGUAGAGACGGUACCUAACCAGAAAGCCACGGCUAACUACGUG